rnacentral:lncRNA from 1 species
UCUGUACUCUGUACUCUGUACCCCUGACUAGAGCUUGCUCUAGAUGGGUUAACUCAUACCUGUUAAGCCUGGUUUUUCACAUACUCUGUACAACAGUUAUAUCAACAAACCAUGUAUACAAAGAUUUACAACACAAACAUAGCUAAGUCAAGCACAACUGUAACUGUAUACACACCUAGUACAUCUCUUUAGUAUUACAUGUCCAUUCUAAGCUAUUACAACUCUCGUUAUUCUUUCUGUACUCUGCUGAUCUCCCCUGUACACUGUACACUGAACCUGCAAGACUGGGGUUAAGGGAGUGGGAUGAGCUCUAAAGCCCAGUGAGUAGAACAGUAAAACAUAUCAUUAAAACAUGACCUUAUGGAAUGCAUCAUAACACAGACAAUUCACAUCAAGGGUAAACCUGUCACCAAAUAGUCCCAGUAUCUCAUACCAAGGCGUAGUCAAAGGCACCUGGAUUUCCUAUCUCAUAUAUGUAUAUGUGUCUAUAACACCUGUACUUACCAUUGCCAGGGUGUAGUCAAAGGCUCCUGGACUUUACUAUACCUGCCAGGGCGUAGUCAAAGGCUCCUGGACUUCUAUACCUUCCAGGGCGUAGUCAAAGGCUCCUGGACUUAUCUCAGUGACUAUUGGAUCAUUCAGCAUUCACCCACAUCAACAAAUAACUAUGCAAUGCAACAUAUUCGUGGAUUCUAAUGCAAACAACCUACUGCAUAACCAUGAUGCAUGAAAUAUGUUAAAAACAUUCCAUUUCUCAAGUAAAAGAAUUAGGUUUAGUUCCACUCACCUCUGGCUAUCUGGAC